CGGCGUGGGCGCGCGCGGUGCACGCUGGUAGCUGUCACCAGGCCCUCGGCUGGCGGCCUUCGUGCGGCUGCCGCGGUUGCCAGGAGAGCGGCGCCGGCGGGGAGCGGCAGAGCCCGCGGCAGGAUAGAGGAGCUUGGCUGUGAAGUAAUGUCCCACCUCCACCCAUUCUGAUAUUGGAGUUUGCUUGUUGGCCAGAGCUGCAAACAUCUGAAGGUGACCCAUGGGUUGAGAACCACUACUCUACAGGGUUGCCUGAUUAUCCUAUGACAAAGAUAGUAACUCCAGAAUGAGUGAUCCAAGAAACAUCAAGGGAAUGAUUUUGCAUGACUUUGGAACUGGUCUCUAGCAGGACACGGUGGGAGGAUGAACACAGAAGAGCUGGAGUUACUGAGUGACUCCAAAUACAGAAACUAUGUAGCUGCAAUUGACAAAGCACUAAAGAAUUUUGAAUACUCCAGUGAAUGGGCAGAUUUGAUAUCAGCGCUUGGAAAACUCAACAAGGUUUUACAAAAUAAUGCCAAGUACCAGGUAGUACCAAAAAAACUGACCAUAGGUAAACGCCUAGCUCAAUGUCUGCACCCAGCAUUACCAGGUGGAGUUCAUCGGAAGGCACUUGAAACAUACGAAAUCAUCUUCAAAAUCAUCGGACCUAAGCGACUUGCCAAAGAUCUUUUUUUAUAUAGUUCUGGGUUGUUUCCUCUACUUGCCAAUGCUGCUAUGUCUGUGAAACCAGCACUGCUCAGUUUGUAUGAGAUAUAUUACCUGCCUUUGGGAAAAACUCUGAAACCUGGUCUCCAGGGAUUGCUGACUGGUAUUCUUCCUGGCUUAGAAGAAGGAUCAGAGUAUUAUGAGAGAACAAACACACUGCUGGAAAAGGUUGCUGCUGCAGUAGAACAGUCGGCAUUCUACAGUGCACUAUGGGGCAGUCUGCUCACCAGUCCCGCUGUGCGCUUACCCGGAAUCACAUACGUUCUGGCCCAUCUGAACAGGAAGCUUUCCAUGGAAGAUCAGCUGUAUAUAAUUGGCAGUGACAUCGAGCUCAUGGUAGAAGCAGUAAGUACUUCAGUGCAGGACUCAAGUGUACUUGUACAGAGAAGCACACUGGACCUCAUCCUCUUCUGUUUUCCAUUCCAUAUGAGUCAGGCCACUCGACCAGAUAUGAUCAGGAUUUUGUCAGCAGCCCUUCACGUAGUACUAAGGAGGGAUAUGUCCCUGAACCGAAGACUUUAUGCAUGGCUUCUUGGUUUUGAUAACAACGGUGCUAUCAUAGGACCCAGGAGCACAAGACACAGUAAUCCUGAAGAACAUGCCACUUACUAUUUUACAACCUUUUCAAAGGAAUUAUUAGUCCAGGCCAUGGUAGGAAUCUUACAAGUGAAUGGAUUUGGAGAAGAAAGCACUCUCAUGCAAGAUCUAAAACCUUUUCGGAUUUUAAUCAGCUUAUUGGACAAACCUGAGCUAGGACCUGUAAUUCUAGAAGAUGUUCUAAUUGAAGUGUUUAGAACAUUGUAUUCUCAAUGUAAAGCAGAAUUGGAUCUUCAGAUGGAACCACCCUUCAGCAAGGACCAUGCUCAGUUAAGCAGUAAAUUAAGGGAAAACAAGAAAACAGCUGAGCUGAUUAAAACUGCGAAUCUUCUUUUUAAUUCCUUUGAACCUUAUUAUAUGUGGGAUUACAUUGCACGCUGGUUUGAAGAAUGUUGUCGGAGAACACUGCAUGCCAGACUUCAGGUUGGGCCUGGAGACAGUAGUGACUCAUCUGAGUUACAGCUGACCAAUUUCUGCUUACUGGUGGACUUUUUGUUGGAUAUUGUCUCUUUGGAAACUUAUAUUGAAAUCCAGACAGAACACUUGCCCCAGUUACUGCUCAGGAUGAUUUCUGCCUUGACAAGCCAUCUCCAGACAUUACGCUUGUCUGAGCUCACAGAUUCUUUGAAGCUCUGCUCAAAGAUCCUUAGCAAAGUCCAGCCCCCACUGUUAUCUGCUGGCACUGGGGGUGUGGUACAGUUUCCAAGUGGGCAGAGCAGCACAGUCAAAGAAUGGGAAGACAAAAAGGUAUCAUCAGUUUCUGUGGAAAAUCCUACUGAAGUAUUUGAAGAUGGAGAAAACCCACCAAGUAGUCGAUCAUCAGAAAGUGGCUUCACUGAGUUUAUACAGUAUCAAGCAGACCGAACUGAUGAUCUUGAUAGAGAGCUGAACGGACAGGGUACAGCUACCAUCCCAAUUGGCAGCACGUCUUCAGAGACAGAAACAGCAUCCACAGUGGGAUCUGAAGAAACUGUUAUCCAGCCACCUUCCACCUUCACUCAGGGUACAGCAGCUCGAAGUGGGAAGGCAGCACAAAAGACUGCGAUGCAGUGCUGCUUGGAGUAUGUCCAGCAGUUUCUUUCCAGACUCAUUAACCUCUACAUCGUUCACAGUGACUCCCUUUCUCAGCCUUUGGCUGCUGACCAUCAGGGAGAUGUCCAUCGAUUUCAAAGAGACACUUCAAAAUGGGACAGGGAUUCCCAAGGGGAUGCAAAAGAAAGAAGUAUACAUACACCAAAAACUUCAAAAGAAUACCUUUCUGCCUUCCUUGCUGCCUGUCAGCUCUUCUUAGAGUGCUCAAGUUUCCCAGUCUAUAUUGCAGAGGGAAACCAUACCUCAGAGUUACAUUCUGAGAAACUUGACACUGACUGUGAACAUGCACAUCCUCCACAGUGGCUCCAGACUCUGAUGAGCGCUUGCAGCCAAGCAAGUGAUUUCAGUGUUCAGAGUGUUGCUGUGUCUCUGGUCAUGGACCUAGUGGGACUGACUCAGUCUGUUGCCAUGGUCACUGGGGAAAGUAUCAACAGCAUGGAACCUGCUCAACCCUUAAGUCCAAACCAAGGAAGAGUAGCUGUAGUUAUUAGACCUCCCCUAACACAGGGCAAUCUGAGGUAUAUAGCUGAGAAGACUGAAUUUUUCAAGCAUGUAGCCUUGACAUUAUGGGACCAGAUGGGAGACGGGACACCUCAGCACCAUCAGAAGAGUGUGGAAUUAUUUUAUCAAUUACAUAAUUUGGUUCCUUCUUCUAGCAUCUGUGAGGACGUUAUAAGUCAGCAGUUAACCCACAAAGAUAAGAAAAUAAGGAUGGAAGCACAUGCGAAGUUUGCAGUUCUUUGGCAUCUAACAAGGGAUCUCCAUGUAAAUAAGUCAUCUUUUGCACGUUCCUUUGACAGGUCACUGUUCAUCAUGUUAGAUAGCCUUAAUAGUCUUGAUGGUUCUACUAGCUCUGUGGGACAAGCCUGGCUGAACCAGGUGCUACAAAGGCAUGACAUAGCCAGAGUACUGGAACCGUUAUUACUGCUUCUACUUCAUCCAAAAACUCAGAGGGUUUCAGUGCAGCGUGUACAAGCAGAACGUUACUGGAGUAAGACUUCCUGUUAUCCAGGAGAGGAAAAUGACAAACUUUUCAUGCAAAAUUUUACCUGCAACAAUGUAAGCCAAGUGCACCUCAUUGCAUCGAAAGGAAAUGGUGAAAAGCAUCUUACUAUGGAUGAAAUAGAGAAUUUCAGCCUCACUGUUAAUCCAUUGAGUGAUAGACUUUCCCUCCUAAGCACCAGCAGUGAGACGAUUCCAAUGGUUGUAUCUGACUUUGACCUCCCAGAUCAGCAAAUGGAAAUACUUCAGAGCUCUGACUCCGGGUGUUCUCAGUCUUCUGCCGGAGACAACUUCAGUUAUGAAGUUGAUCCUGAAAAUGUAAAUGCUCAUGAGGAUUCUCUCAUGGCAAAGGCAAGCUCCCCAGAUGAUGACGUUCAGCAAGUCGUCUUUGACCUGAUAUGUAAAGUUGUAAGUGGCCUAGAAGCAGAAUCCGCAUCAGUUACAUCUGAGUUAGAAAUAGAAUCCCUGCCACUAAAGAGCGGUGAUUUAGAUGCAGGUAUAAAGACCACGAAAAGUGACGAUCAGGCCCCUCAACACAGUCAGCAUGCUUUGCUGAGUGAGGACAGCCCUCAGUUUCUGUCUGUGUCUGCAGAGGAAGGCUGUGAGUGCUUGGCCAACGGGAUCUCCAGAAAUAGCUCCUCUCCUUGCAUUUCAGGAACAGCACAGACUCUCAACGAUUCUUCUGUUUCCACAGAAACCAAAUCUAGACAAAGGAGUCACAGUAGUAUUCAGUUUAGCUUCAAAGAAAAGUUAGCAGAAAAGAUCUCAGAGAAAGAAACAAUUGUUAAGGAAUCAGGUAAACAACCAGGCGCAAAACCCAAAGUAAAGCUUGCCAGAAAAAAGGAUGAGGACAAGAAAAAAGCUGCAAAUGAGAAACUGAAACAAACAAGUGUGUUCUUCAGUGACGGCCUGGACUUAGAGAACUGGUAUAGCUGUGGUGAGGGCGAAAUUUCUGAAAUCGAGAGUGACAUGGGCUCUCCAGGAUCACGGAAAUCUCCCAAUUUCAACAUCCAUCCUCUCUACCAACAUGUGCUCCUGUAUCUGCAGUUGUAUGAUUCAUCAAGGACUCUGUAUGCCUUUUCUGCCAUCAAAUCCAUCUUGAAAACUAACCCCAUUGCUUUUGUAAAUGCCAUUUCAACCACAAGUGUAAAUAAUGCAUAUACUCCUCAACUGUCACUGCUUCAGAAUCUAUUGGCCAGACAUCGAAUCUCUGUUAUGGGCAAAGACUUCUAUAGUCACAUUCCAGUGGACUCAAAUCAUAACUUCCGGAGUUCCAUGUACAUCGAAAUUCUUAUUUCUCUCUGCUUAUAUUACAUGCGUAGCCAUUACCCAACUCAUGUCAAGGUCACUACCCAAGACUUGAUAGGCAAUCGAAACAUGCAAAUGAUGAGCAUAGAAAUCUUGACUCUCCUCUUUACAGAGCUAGCAAAAGUAAUAGAAAGCUCUGCAAAGGGUUUCCCUAGUUUUAUCUCUGAUAUGCUAUCUAAGUGCAAAGUUCAGAAAGUGAUUCUUCAUUGUUUGCUGUCCUCUAUCUUCAGUGUACAAAAAUGGCACAGUGAAAAAAUCGCAGGUAAGAACAUGGUUGCUGUGGAAGAAGGCUUCUCAGAAGACAGCCUUAUCAAUUUCUCAGAGGAUGAAUUUGACAAUGGCAGCACACUCCAGUCACAGCUUCUUAGGGUGCUUCAGAGGCUGAUUGUUUUAGAGCACCGGGUGAUGACGAUUCCUGAAGAGAAUGAAGCAGGUUUUGAUUUCGUUGUGUCUGAUCUGGAACACAUCAGUCCCCAUCAGCCCAUGACUUCUCUUCAGUAUUUGCACGCUCAGCCCAUCACUUGUCAAGGCAUGUUCCUCUGUGCAGUGAUCAGAGCUUUGCAUCAGCACUGUGCGUGUAAGAUGCAUCCACAGUGGAUUGGCUUAAUCACAUCUACUCUGCCUUACAUGGGAAAAGUUCUACAGAGAGUUGUGGUUUCUGUGACACUACAGCUGUGCAGGAAUUUGGACAAUCUAAUUCAGCAGUACAAAUAUGAAACAGGAUUCUCUGAUAGUAGGCCUUUGUGGAUAGCAUCAGUUAUUCCACCAGAUAUGAUUCUUACUCUUUUGGAAGGGAUCACAGCCAUUAUCCAUUACUGCUUGUUGGAUCCGACUACCCAGUAUCAUCAACUCUUGGUCAAUGUAGACCAGAAACACUUGUUUGAAGCUCGCAGUGGAAUCCUCUCAAUCCUUCACAUGAUCAUGUCCUCUGUGACUCUGCUCUGGAGCAUACUGCACCAGGCAGAUGCUGCAGAAAAGAUGACGGUCGCUGCAUCUGCAUCUGUUACCACAAUCAAUCUGGGAGCCACAAAGAAUUUAAGACAACAAAUUCUGGAAUUAUUGGGACCCAUUUCAAUGAAUCAUGGUGUUCAUUUCAUGGCUGCCAUCGCAUUUGUAUGGAACGAAAGAAGACAGAACAAAACCCCUUCCCGAACCAAGGUGAUUCCUGCAGCCAGUGAAGAACAGCUUUUACUAGUAGAACUAGUUCGCUCCAUCAGCGUCAUGAGAGCAGAAACUGUUAUCCAGACUGUGAAAGAAGUUUUAAAGCAGCCUCCAGCCAUAGCCAAGGACAAGAAACAUCUUUCUCUGGAAGUCUGCAUGCUUCAGUUUUUCUAUGCUUAUAUACAAAGAAUUCCAGUGCCCAAUUUAGUGGACAGUUGGACAUCACUAUUGGUUCUUCUAAAAGAUUCUAUACAGCUGAGUCUUCCAGCCCCAGGGCAGUUUCUUAUACUUGGGGUUCUGAAUGAGUUUAUUAUGAAAAAUCCUAGUUUGGAAAAUAAAAAAGACCAAAGAGACCUUCAGGACGUGACUCACAAAAUUGUGGAUGCUAUUGGUGCAAUUGCUGGUUCCUCUCUAGAGCAGACAACGUGGCUCCGACGAAACCUAGAAGUCAAGGCUUCUCCUAAAAUAAUGGUGGAUGGUACCAAUUUGGAGUCUGAUGUUGAAGAUAUGCUAUCACCUGCAAUGGAAACCUCAAACAUAACUCCCUCUGUAUAUAGUGUCCAUGCACUGACAUUGCUUUCCGAGGUAUUGGCUCAUCUUCUAGAUAUGGUCUUCUACAGUGAUGAAAAAGAGCGUGUUAUCCCUUUACUUGUAAACAUUAUGCAUUAUGUUGUACCCUACCUCCGAAAUCACAGUGCACAUAAUGCCCCUAGUUACCGAGCCUGUGUCCAACUGCUCAGCAGUCUUAGUGGGUAUCAGUAUACACGGAGAGCAUGGAAAAAAGAAGCCUUUGACCUUUUCAUGGAUCCCAGUUUCUUUCAGAUGGAUGCGUCCUGUGUUAAUCAUUGGAGAGCAAUUAUGGACAACCUGAUGACACAUGAUAAGACAACAUUCAGAGAUUUGAUGACUCGAGUAGCUGUGGCCCAAAGCAGUUCUCUCAAUCUUUUUGCAAAUCGAGAUGUGGAGCUAGAACAGAGAGCCAUGCUUCUUAAAAGAUUGGCCUUUGCUAUUUUUAGCAGUGAAAUUGACCAGUACCAGAAGUACCUUCCAGACAUACAAGAGAGAUUGGUUGAGAGUCUCCGUCUGCCCCAGGUGCCAACUCUUCACUCUCAAGUGUUCCUGUUCUUCAGAGUAUUACUUUUAAGAAUGUCUCCACAACACCUUACCUCUCUCUGGCCUACCAUGAUCACGGAACUUGUGCAAGUAUUCCUACUGAUGGAGCAAGAGCUCACUGCUGAUGAAGAUAUUUCACGGACAUCAGGGCCGUCUGCGGCUGGUCUGGAGACAACCUAUACUGGAGGUAAUGGCUUCUCCACCUCCUAUAACAGCCAGAGGUGGUUAAACCUCUAUCUCUCUGCUUGCAAGUUUUUGGAUUUGGCUCUGGCAUUGCCCUCUGAAAAUCUUCCUCAGUUUCAGAUGUACCGAUGGGCCUUUAUACCCGAAGCUUCAGAUGAUUCAGGCUUGGAGGUCAGACGGCAGGGCAUACAUCAGCGAGAAUUUAAGCCAUACGUGGUUCGACUAGCAAAACUUCUUCGGAAAAGGGCAAAGGACGAGGAGGACUUUAAGAUUUUGGAGGGAAUGGAGAUGGCCAAGCAUCAGAAGAAUCCAGAGGAAGACAGCUCAGGGAGGACACUGGGCUGGGAGCCGGGGCACUUGUUACUCACCCUCUGCACCAUGCGCAGCAUGGAGCAGCUUCUGCCCUUCUUCAAUGUCCUCAGCCAAGUUUUCAACAGCAAAGUCACAAGCCGGUGCGGAGGACACUCAGGGAGCCCUGUCCUCUACUCAAACUCCUUCCCCAACAAGGACAUGAAACUGGAGAACCACAAAGCAUUUUCCAGCAAAGCCAGGCAAAAAAUUGAAGAGAUGAUAGAAAAGGAUUUUCUGGAAGGAGUCAUAAAAUCUUGACCACCACCGUGGUUCCCCAGAGACGCAAUGGAAAUCUUACUUGUGAGUCUGCUUCUGCAUAUACUCGGACAAUGUCUUCUGUACCAGAGGGCCGGACAAAAGCUCGGGCAAGCUUGUACUUCUUCACCAGGUCGUUGAUUGCUUCUUGGAGUCCUGGCGGGGUGACUGCCUGUCUUUCAGCAUCAGUGGUGCUGAUCACUCUCCUGUCGGCAACCUGAGCACAAACAUGUCCUAUCUGUUACAGAAGCUUAACCUGUUCAAAACAGUCCAGCACACAGAGUAAGAGGCGGCCAUUUCAAGUUACUAUCCUGCAUGGUGGUGUACAUCCGGACCGAAAUGUAUCCCACUCGGGAAACACUUGGCGUGGGAAGACUGGAAGAACGCUAUAGUCUGAAAGAUUGUUUCCCGCUCUCUUCACCUUAACUUUGAGUUGUCUGUUAGGAAGAUCAACAUAAAUAGCAUCCCACUGCUGCACAGUCAGGCCCUUGAGAGCCAGGAUCGCCUCAAUCACCAGCAUGUCGGAAAUGGCAUCUCCAGCUGCCUGCAAGAUUGGGGAAACAAAGCACAUAAGCCACCAUUACAUAAUCCCACACAGAUGCUGUCUGUGCAUCGGCAACCAGAGUGAUGAAUGCCAUGGACCAAGGAGAUGCACGUAACCAUGACAGACAACAAUGACAUGGAUCCAGAGCUGAUUACACCAGCUCCUGAGAAACAUCUAGACUGAAUAAAGGUUUGGCCCUGACAUGUUAUGACUCAAAUUCUUUAAAUAGAUCUCCUUUUAGAUAGUGUGACGGUGGUAUUAAUAGAGAAAAUAAGCUUUGGUUCUUCAUACACUUAAAGUCAGAACCAACUCUAAGCUUCAUUUCAUAAAAUGGAAAUUAUAACCUUGCUUCCUGCAUUACUGCUGUGAUUAGAAGGAAAAGUGGAUAAAAUGUCUGACCCGUAUCAGACAUUCGGACUCCACGUCUCUCCUGGCUUCACUGUCGCUUUUCCACAGCAGUACGGCAGUUUCAGCUGCCGGACCCAAGCACGUAAAUGGUACAGAAUUUUCCCAAGGUUUCUUUGAAAAGUUAGCCAAACACACAAAACACAUACUCAGUAGCUACUAAGUAUACUUAAACAUUUCAACAUUUUCCUGACAAAAUAUCAAGAAAAGGAAGCAUAUAAAAAAUUGUUAUUUCUGGUGCAAGUCUCAGCUGUGGGCACCACUGUUAGAAGCAAACCACCCAGCCAGCCAGGACUUCACCUUUUAUAAUUCUACAUCCCAGGUUUUGACUGAUGUUAAGGUAUCUCAGAGCCUUUCACCACACCACAUCUAACCUGGUUGAACAAGUCGAUGAUGCUUGCAAGCAUCUUUGCAGCUUUUCCUUUCUCGUCUUCUAAUUCUUGUGCUAGUCUUUUUAUCUUCGUUUCAACUGCUUCGCUAAACAGUGCCUGCAGCAGAAGUACAUGAAGUCAGUCACAAACUCCAGGUCACUUUCCAUUCCCAGGGAAUCUGUAAAAACUGAAUAGACAAAUAACAGCAGCCUAAUGUCUGCCAUUAAUGCUGAAAUCAAAUCAGAGCACAAAGGGUAUUAUUACUAAAGAAAAAGUUUAUGGAUUAUAAAACUAAUUUAAAAGAUACCAUUUUGACAAAAACGGAAUACAUAUGAGCUCACUGUGUUCUCCAGCUCACUUCCCGAACUCUAUGCAGCUGGUACCAUUACAAGACAUGUGAGAGGCCACAUCAGCAUGAGUUCACUGCACUCAACAGUACAGCAGCUAGUAUCAUAUACUACCACAGACAUUCCUUUGUUUUGAAAUGCCACGCCCAUCCUUUAUAAUCCUCAAGAGGCCAGUACUUACAUGAGUACAUAGUGCUCAAUCACUAGAGGAAAUGGGCCCUUUUUGGUAAAAUAACAUGCAGGUGGUCACCUGGUUUUCCUAAAUAAAUUCUGACUGAACAGACUUACCCAUUUUUUCUGUGAGUCGAGUUGAACAGAUUCAGAGACCUUAUGGACUUCACCUUUAUUAGGUCACUGAAAUUACAUUUCAGCCACAUUUUAUAGAAACACAUUCUCCUCCUUAUAUUCAUGGCUCUUCAAAAAUUGAAAUUUUUGUUAACAUGACUAGGUAGUAGUAAAUUACACUAUUUCACAAAUUGAAAUUAGUGAAGAGAAUGAUUUAAACUACAUUCAAACAUUCUCAUGUCUACCUCAAAUCCAUUCAUGAAAUAAGAUGAUAUACAAAGACAUUUUUAAAUCUGAACAUAAAAAUACCCUUUAAAAUAGUGACAUUUAUAUUGAAUUAUAUAUGGCUUUUUUUUUUCAGAAUAGUCCUAAGAAAGCCCUGAAAACAAAACACCAAACAUAAAACACCUAUGUUUGUAUAUGCUUUAAACCCAAUAAAACUUUUCAUCAUAGUUACUCUGUAAGAAGUGGGAAUAUUUUAAGAACAUGAACAGAACAUUUUAAAAUAAUUUAUUGGGUUUUAUGGGGUGUGUGUAUGUGUGCACACGCACGUGCAUGCCUGCAUGCACCUGUCUCUGACUCUGCAGCACCGAUCCAACUCAAGACUUCAUGCAUGGUUACAGAACUAAGCUCACCCCAGCUCUUUAAAGAAAAAAUUGGUGAUAUGCAAGAUAUUCAUGAGUAUGACAAUAGGAUCUGGACAUUUCUGGCACCCUCUCCUCAGCUGCCCUAGGAACUAGCUGGGGUCG